CUUUCCGAGAAACAUGAUGUGUUUAUUCGAAAAUGUUCUAGAAGUUUUUGUUUGUUAUAUAAGCAAAGUUAAUUGUGUUUAAUUUUAGUCUCAAGAUCGAUGCCUAAGUGGCAUUCGCGCUCGUGUGUUAAAAAGUGUUUGCUAGAAAUUUGAGUACAAGACUAAAUAGUAAUUAAAUGAAUCUAUUUCAGGAAUGUUAUUUAAAUCCAUUCAUAAUUAAUUGUACCCAUUUAAAUAAGUCACGUAAUAAAAUUUACAGUUACAGUACUUUCUACAGAGUCCUACAUAAAUAAGUGGGUUAGGUGUCAUUUUUUUCAAUUCCGCACUGCUUUUUAACAAUAAUGUGACAAAUUUAUUUUUUAAAUUUAUCUUCUUGUCAAAUUUAGAGCUUUACGUGUUCAAAAAGUAAAAGUGUAAGCAAAAACCCACAAAUCUGUGUAUAUGAAUUUCCAUCCCGCAAUUUGGACAGUAUUAAAUAAAUAUUUCUCCCGAAAUUGUAAUAUGUGGUUCUAUCAAGAGUAAUAACAAAGCUAUAUGCGACAUAAAUUUAUACUGCGGUGUUAUUAAGAGUAUUUAUAGGUAAAAACUGUUAAUCAAACAAACUCAAGGUUUAAGAGCAGGUAUAAAUAUGAAUAAUUAUGAUUCAUUAAAAUAUUUAUUACAAUACAUCACUCGAAACGUAUACAGAUACCUCCUUGGAGUAUAUAAUUUUCAUUUCUGCGUCUAGUUUGAGAAAUCGAACUUUUUCCAACAAGUUUUAACCUAAAGUAGUCUUAAGGAGCGGUGGGACCAUAUUAAAUGGGUCAACCAUGUUCAAAAAAUUUGAAAUGAAAAAUGAAAACAAUAUCUGACAUUCUCAGUUUUUUGGUGAUCUCUUAUUUUCUAAGAAGAUUUUUCUAAAAUUUCAAAAGCGUUUUUUUAGGUAACAACAGGAGGCAACUUUGUCCCCAUUUAAGCUACACUGUAUCUCUCACUGUUACGGAGAUCCCAAUGGUGAGUCACGAAUUUGAAACACCCCGUACAUAGUAUGUUUGAUCGGGUCGGUUUAUAUUUCGUAAAGGAACGAUUAAAACAAUUAACCAUAGUUUCCAAAGGGGGCAAGAUCACGUUCUGGGUAGGGUUGAACCUCGCCUGGCCACCUCCUGACUACAAGGCUGCACUCCUUAACAAACAACGAUCAGAUCUCCGACGCCUCUUUUGCUACUGUCCAUCUGGCUCCAUAAGAAGUCUUUGGGGAGGAUUCCAUGUGAAUUCUGUUUCUUUCUGUUAAAUAUUUCCUAUGUUUCAGCGAUGAAGUAAGGAGUCUCAAUCCUACCAAGUGUCCGCCUUGGAACUUCCGUUAUAUGUUUAAGGAAACAAAGCGGAAAGAGGGCAUGACAACGUACAUACUGGUAAUAGAAUGUUGCCUAAUAGUGUUCAGAAAAGGAGUUGCAUGGAAGUUCAAUGUGUAACAUUUGUUUUUAGGGGAAUACCUUCGGCUUCGGAAUUGUCGGGUGGCACCUAACUCAAAGAACGGAAUUUCAUGCAGAAAAUACUACAACAUACAGAGACCAUUGUCCCUCGUCUGUAACUGUCACUCCUCAGCAUGUGCGCAAUAACGUGGGGCAAACAUUCUGGUCGACCUAUUUUCUGUGACUACAGUUCUAGCGUUGAGUGAAGGAACGGUUCUAGCCUAGCGACCACCAAUUGCUCUCUUGUAAGCAAAACAAUAACCGAAGCUGCGUUUAAUAUCAACGGUUGCCAGAAGGUUAUCAUCUCAUAAAUUA